CCGUAGGCAACGACCCGAAGGGCGAAGCGCGCAGCGCUGAGUCAUCCUUCCCCCACCACCA
rnacentral:sRNA from 1 species